AUGUUUCUACUGAACUGCAGUGAUCUGUCUGAGGGAUCGGCCUCGCUGCUCUGCCUGCUGUCUGAUUACUCUCCACAGGGGGCGCUGGUGAGCUGGACGGUGGACGGCAGAGUGCUGGAGGACGGGGUGGUGACCGGAGCAGAAGAACUGAAAGGGGGCAGUUGGAGGCGUGGCAGCACCCUGACCCUCAGCAAAGCACAGUGGGAAAAGGGGGAGGAGUUUGGCUGUAAGGUCUCUCACGGUGGCGUCGAUCAUCCCGUCGUAUUCAGAAAGAACCAGUGUGAAGGCUAG